rnacentral:rRNA from 1 species
UACGUAAGGGGCGAGCGUUGUCCGGAAUUAUUGGGCGUAAAGGGUUCGCAGGCGGCCUUUUAAGUCAGAUGUGAAAUCUCACGGCUUAACCGUGGUAAGCAUUUGAAACUGAAAGGCUUGAGUUAAGGAGAGGAAAGUGGAAUUCCUAGUGUAGCGGUGAAAUGCGUAGAUAUUAGGAAGAAUACCAGUGGCGAAGGCGACUUUCUGGACUUAUACUGACGCUGAGGAACGAAAGCAUGGGGAGCAAACAGG